CGUAGAUAUGUGGAGGAACACCAGUGGCGAAGGCGGCUCUCUGGUCUGUAACUGACGCUGAGGCGCGAAAGCGUGGGGAGCAAACAGGAUUAGAUACCCUGGUAGUCCACGCCGUAAACGAUGAGUGCUAGGUGUUGGGGGGUUCCACCCUCAGUGCUGAAGUUAACACAUUAAGCACUCCGCCUGGGGAGUACGACCGCAAGGUUGAAACUCAAAGGAAUUGACGGGGGCCCGCACAAGCAGUGGAGCAUGUGGUUUAAUUCGAAGCAACGCGAAGAACCUUACCAGGUCUUGACAUCCUCUGACAAUCCUGGAGACAGGACGUUCCCCUUCGGGGGACAGAGUGACAGGUGGUGCAUGGUUGUCGUCAGCUCGUGUCGUGAGAUGUUGGGUUAAGUCCCGCAACGAGCGCAACCCUUGAUCUUAGUUGCCAGCAUUUAGUUGGGCACUCUAAGGUGACUGCCGGUGACAAACCGGAGGAAG
rnacentral:rRNA from 2 species